AUUGAACGCUGGCGGCAGGCCUAACACAUGCAAGUCGAGCGGCAGCGGAAAGUAGCUUGCUACUUUGCCGGCGAGCGGCGGACGGGUGAGUAAUGUCUGGGAAACUGCCUGAUGGAGGGGGAUAACUACUGGAAACGGUAGCUAAUACCGCAUGACCUCGAAAGAGCAAAGUGGGGGAUCUUCGGACCUCACGCCAUCGGAUGUGCCCAGAUGGGAUUAGCUAGUAGGUGAGGUAAUGGCUCACCUAGGCGACGAUCCCUAGCUGGUCUGAGAGGAUGACCAGCCACACUGGAACUGAGACACGGUCCAGACUCCUACGGGAGGCAGCAGUGGGGAAUAUUGCACAAUGGGCGCAAGCCUGAUGCAGCCAUGCCGCGUGUGUGAAGAAGGCCUUAGGGUUGUAAAGCACUUUCAGCGAGGAGGAAGGCAUCAUACUUAAUACGUGUGGUGAUUGACGUUACUCGCAGAAGAAGCACCGGCUAACUCCGUACCAGCAGCCGCGGUAAUACGGAGGGUGCAAGUGUUAAUCGGAAUUACUGGGCGUAAAGCGCACGCAGGCGGUUUGUUAAGUCAGAUGUGAAAUCCCCGCGCUUAACGUGGGAACUGCAUUUGAAACUGGCAAGCUAGAGUCUUGUAGAGGGGGGUAGAAUUCCAGGUGUAGCGGUGAAAUGCGUAGAGAUCUGGAGGAAUACCGGUGGCGAAGGCGGCCCCCUGGACAAAGACUGACGCUCAGGUGCGAAAGCGUGGGGAGCAAACAGG
rnacentral:rRNA from 1 species